UACAGAGGGUGCUAGCGUUGUUCGGAAUCAUUGGGCGUAAAGGGCGUGUAGGCGGUUUGUUAAGUCAUGUGUGAAAGCCCCGGCUCAACCGGGGAACGACGCAUGAAACUGGCAGCUAGAGUACCGAAGAGGGGGUGGAAUUCCCGGUGUAGCGGUGAAAUGCGUAGAUAUCGGGAAGAACACCCGUGGCUAAGGCGGCUACUCUAGUACGGUACUGACGCUGAGACGCGAAAGCGUGGG
rnacentral:rRNA from 1 species